UACGUAGGCAGCAAGUGUUGUUCGGAGUUACUGGGCGUAAAGGGUGUGUAGGCGGUUGUUUAAGUUUGGUGUGAAAUCUCCCGGCUCAACUGGGAGGGUGCGCCGAAUACUGAAUGACUUCGAGUGCGGGAGAGGAGAGUGGAAUUCCUGGUGUAGCGGUGAAAUGCGUAGAUAUCAGGAGGAACACCGGCGGUGUAGACGGCUCUCUGGACCGUAACUGACGCUGAGACACGAAAGCGUGGGUAGCAAACAGG
rnacentral:rRNA from 1 species